rnacentral:rRNA from 1 species
GAUGAACGCUGGCGGCGUGCCUAAUACAUGCAAGUCGAGCGAACAGACGAGGAGCUUGCUCCUCUGACGUUAGCGGCGGACGGGUGAGUAACACGUGGAUAACCUACCUAUAAGACUGGGAUAACUUCGGGAAACCGGAGCUAAUACCGGAUAAUAUAUUGAACCGCAUGGUUCAAUAGUGAAAGACGGUUUUGCUGUCACUUAUAGAUGGAUCCGCGCCGCAUUAGCUAGUUGGUAAGGUAACGGCUUACCAAGGCGACGAUGCGUAGCCGACCUGAGAGGGUGAUCGGCCACCCUGGAACUGAGACACGGUCCAGACUCCUACGGGAGGCAGCAGUAGGGAAUCUUCCGCAAUGGGCGAAAGCCUGACGGAGCAACGCCGCGUGAGUGAUGAAGGUCUUCGGAUCGUAAAACUCUGUUAUUAGGGAAGAACAACUGUGUAAGUAACUAUGCACGUCUUGACGGUACCUAAUCAGAAAGCAACGGCUAACUACGUG